rnacentral:rRNA from 1 species
UACGGAGGGGGCUAGCGUUGUUCGGAAUUACUGGGCGUAAAGCGCACGUAGGCGGUUCGUUAUGUCGGAUGUGAAAGCCCUUGGCUUAACCGAGGAAGUGCAUCCGAAACUGGCGAGCUAGAGUACGAAAGAGGAUCGCGGAAUUCCCGGUGUAGAGGUGAAAUUCGUAGAUAUCGGGAGGAACACCGGUGGCGAAGGCGGCGAUCUGGGUCGAUACUGACGCUGAGGUGCGAAAGCGUGGGGAGCAAACAGG